UAGUGAUUAAUAUAAAGAAAGUAUUCAUAUCUUAACACCAUAAAAAAAAAAAAAGCAAAACCAGUCAUAGCGAUCUAUGCAACAGUACACGUAUCCAAGUACUCACAACAACAUUAAAUAUACAUGAGCACCAACUUUAGGAGAUCAUUAAGACAUUAACUAUAAAAAUUUUACUAAUUUUGCUUGAUAACUCAAAGCCUAAUACAAGAAAAUAGAAUAUUAAAAAAAAAAAAUUGGAACACAAGACACACAACAACUGCUCCAAAAAUUUCACUUAAUUUUGCUUUAUUACCCAAACCCUUAUUAGAAGAUAAAAGAAUAUUAAAAAAUAGUAAACGAAAUACAAGGUAAUAAUAUUAAUAAUAAAUCUUUCGUCCGGUCCGGUUGCGUGCGCGGAGCGAACCCCGUGUCCUCCGCCCCAUGAUUCUUUCAUCAGAACUUGCGUCCACGGUGCUCUCCUCGUCGCCGCCUUCCGUCACGCCCUUUCCCGGCCAUCGCCUCUCGCGCUCGUUAUCCACCUUCUCUCGUUCUCCCCGCUCUCCUCCAUCCAUCUUCUUCCCUCUCAUUUCCUUCCUAUCCGCCGCCGUACGGCGGACCUCGAUCCGGCGGAAGGAGCCAGGUUGGAGACGCUGAGCAAGGCUCUGCCCAAGAAAUGGUGGAAUCUUUAGGUACGGGUGGUAUGGGACGAGUUUACGACCAUGGCGAUGGAUGCCUCGGUCGGACCCUCUCCGGCGGGCUCCGGCCGUGUCGGUGCCCGGAUUUCGAGGGCAUUAGGGUUGCUCUGGAUCGCGGGUGAGACUCUUGGCCUUGGGUUCUUGUCCUCUGCUUCCAAACCCUACCCUGCUUUUAUAGGCAAUUUCUUGGAUGAUGCAUUUAAUUCCGAAGGUUCGAGACAGUCCCGCGCUCUUGCAUAAGGUUCGAGAUGGUCAUGCUCCGGUGCAUGUAUUAAAUGGUGAAGCUUCGAGAUGGUCGCGCGUUCUUGCACCCCCACCAGAUACCCCAUGCUCCAGCUGUCAGAAGUGAAGUCAUCUUUGAACAUCUGGUACUGAUAACAGGUCUCUGAGCACCAGAUGAACCCAGUUGUUAGACUACAUAAGAGAGGCUGCUGUGAUUGCAACAAGACCAGUCACUGUUUGAUGUUUUAAGAUUGGAAUCACUGUUUCUUCUUGGGAGUCCUGGUUCUUCUACUUGUGAGUGGCGAGCUUGGCAACUGUGACCAGAGACCGAUGAUCAAAGUGAUCGGCUUGCUCUUCACCUUUCCCACUUCCAUGCAUGGCAGUCUCUUGGAUCAUUCCAUCUUCUCAUGCCUUGGUGGCUUUGGGGCUUCAUGAUCGUGGCUUGAUGCCCCCUAUCGUGGCAUUGGGGCAUCACUUGGUUCGUGUUAGUUCUUUGGGUUUGAACAACAGGAAUAGGAUGAAUUUGCAAUCCUCAGAAAUGGAAUUGGUUACCUAUUUCUCUUUUUUCGUCUUCCUUGUUACUAUCAUGACACAGGUACAUUCCUUAUGGAUGCUGUCAAGCUUCUUAUUAUGAUUCAUUUGUCUUCAUAUUUCUUCUUCCCUUCUGAUGUAAUUAUCCAGCUAAUCUUAACUGUUAAUUACUUGCAUUAAUAGGCUCAUAUUAAGUUU